GGAAGAUAGGCAACCAGCAUUGGAAUGCUGCCACUGGGAGAUUUAUUGGAAGUCUUGAAGGGCUCAGUAGACUGGGAAGGUAGAUGAUAAUAGAUGGAAAUUAUGGAUUUCCAGGGCUGGAUGGUCUCUCAUAGCAGCUUUAGCCACAAGUUCCUGCAACAUUCCUUACAGAAACACAGCUGCUAUCUAUUGAAAUAUAAGUCAUUGUUCA